rnacentral:rRNA from 1 species
CCCUUAGAUGAUUUGGGCUGCACGCGCGCUACACUGACCUUAACAAUGAGCAACUGUCUGGCCUGAGAUGGCUGGGUAGCCUUUUCAACCCAUGUCAUGAUUGGGCUAGAUUUUUGUAAGUCUUGAUCUCUAACGAGGAAUCCCUAGUAUGCGUGAAUCAUCAAUCCAUGCAGAUUAUGUCCCUGCCCUUUGUACACACCGCCCGUCGCUCCUACUGAUUGGGUGAUCCGGUGAGCUGUUCGGCCAUAGCAAUGUUUCUUGAGCAGGGCAAUGAAUGUUUCGCAAACCUUGCCACUUAGAGGAAGGAGAAGUCGUAACA